CAGAGAAUAGUUUAUUAAAAUAUUAAUUUUGGAGAUUAAAGAUAGAUUUUGUCUUUCUCUGA
rnacentral:tRNA from 1 species